GACGAACGCUGGCGGCGUGCCUAAUACAUGCAAGUCGAACGAACCGCGACUAGGUGCUUGCACUUGGUCAAGGUGAGUGGCGAACGGGUGAGUAACACGUGGGUAACCUACCUCAUAGUGGGGGAUAACAGUCGGAAACGACUGCUAAUACCGCAUAGGACAUAGGAUCACAUGAUCCAGUGAGGAAAGGUGGCGCAAGCUAUCGCUAAGAGAUGGACCCGCGGUGCAUUAGCUAGUUGGUAGGGUAAAGGCCUACCAAGGCGAUGAUGCAUAGCCGACCUGAGAGGGUGAUCGGCCACAUUGGGACUGAGACACGGCCCAAACUCCUACGGGAGGCAGCAGUGGGGAAUCUUCCGCAAUGGACGCAAGUCUGACGGAGCAACGCCGCGUGAGUGAAGAAGGUCUUCGGAUCGUAAAGCUCUGUUGUUAGAGAAGAACAGCGCAUAGAGCAACUGUUAUGCGUGUGACGGUAUCUAACCAGAAAGCCACGGCUAACUACGUG
rnacentral:rRNA from 1 species